UCCUGUCGCGUGUGGCGCGUGCGAGCGCCCGUUCCAGCCCGGUUCUUUUUUCGUAGCUCGCGGGAAAAUCGCUCCCGGGAUUCGCAACCUUUUUCGGGGCCCGGUCACCACGUGCCACCCCUUCAACAACAAAUUUUGGUGUAAGGGUUGAUCUCUCAACACCCCCCUAUGCAAUACGCUUAGUGCCCCCCCUUUUUUUUAAAAAAAAAAAAUUAAAAAAAUUCUCAUUGAUAACGACCCACCAUUGUGGUCCCAGUGUUAAUUAAAAAGUACUUAAACGAGGUUUAAGCUAUCCUCGAAACCUUUUUCUGCCGGAGAUCGAUAUCUCGCGGUUUGAUGAUAGUUUUCGGUUUGUUUUUGUCGGGUUUGUUGCCGAAUGUUUUCAAAUCGAGCGGUGGCUUCUACUUUAACUUUUGUGAUUUGCUCUCGCAAUAAACUGGUGAGAAAUGUGCCUUGGAUUUGAGUUGAUGAUUUUUCUCAGAUUUCAGUGAAUACUUUAUUGUGAUUGUCAUGAGCCGAUUGAAUGAUAUGUUUGUGGCGUGAGUCGUUUUAAAUCUGAAAGGUUGUUUACCCUACGAACUGUUUUUCAGUACGUAGUAAUUCCCCCAAAAGUGCUCAGUGAUCUUUUGAUUAUCGUGUUUCUUCUCCGUACAUUGUUUGGCUCAAAUUAUACAGUGUUUCACAAAAAUAGUGAUAUUUGGUUCUGCACUGGAUGUCUUUAAUUUGGAGGCUUGAAGUUUAUGACUAUGGCUUAAUUAUCAUCGUGCAUAAGACUUUAAGGUGUGAAAGCGGUAGAAGAGUCCUCGGUCAGCUGAUUAAGAUCCAAUAAUGUUUCGCUCUCUCAUGUGCCUAAACUUUGAAUCAGCCCCGCGUUUCGGUUCAGUUUUCCUCCGGAGGUAAACUACGCCACGUUGGCUAAUCAUUCGAAAAUUAAUGAUUCCUCUUUAUUAUACGCACGAAAGGAUGCCUUGGAAGUGUAAGUUCAAGCGGGUUCUCUGAAUUUCUAAGAGAUUUUAGCGAGUCGGUAGUUUUGUGCGAGCCUGGCCUUUCGCGGGCUCCGGGUACGUGGCCGAAGAUGUAAAAUGGUCGCGAAAACUUUUGUGUCGUGCGGCCCGCAAGUUCUGGAUCGUUGUUCGCCCCAAGCGUGAGUCCGUGCUCCACCAUGCCAGUUUGGAUUAUCCUCUUCGUUCUCGUCUUCUUCUCUGCAGCCAACUGCCACGCCGCCCUCUUGAACAUCACCGAAGACUCAGGACCCAUAUCAAGCGUAGAGGCAGUAUUGGAUGGCAUCGCGAAGCUACCAUGCAACAUGUCCAUCUACGAUAAUGCGGUGGAGGAUAGAAUCGACCUUAUCAUGUGGUUCAAACACAAUCAGACCACACCAUUUUACAGCAUCGACUUUCGGGAGAAGCGGCGAGGAGAGGGGCAGCACUGGAACAGGGAAUCGCUCAACGGCCGCGCGUCUUUCAAACUCAACGGCCAAGACGCCAAACUCAUCUUGGAGGGCAUACAACAGUCCGACGGCGGUCUUUACCGGUGCAGAGUCGACUUCAGCAGGGCCCCUACUCGCUUCUCCAGAGUUAACCUCACUGUCAUUGAGCCUCCGGAGCAGUUGAGGGUUGUCGAUGUCAACGGAGAGCACAUAAAGGAUUAUGUCAUCGGCCCGUUCCGCGAGGGCGCCAUGGUCGAGAUAGCUUGUAACGCCACAGGGGGUCACCCGCGGCCGAACGUGACGUGGUGGAAGGGGAACGCGCGGCUCAACUCGAACGAGACGGUGGCCGAGCGGUCCGUCCGGAACACGCUCCGCUUCGGCCCGCUCCAGCGGAGCGACUUGGGCACGCUCCUCACUUGUCAAGCCAUCAACAACCAACUGUCGCCUCCGAUCCAGUCCCACGUCAGGCUCGACAUGACACUUCCGCCGUUGAUGGUGCGCCUGAAGAACGAGCAACACCCUUUGUCAGCCGAUACCUCAUACGAAAUCGUGUGUGAGGUGAUCGGGGCACGGCCAAAGCCGAACGUGACGUGGUGGCUGGAUGCAAAACAACUUCACACUGCCAAAGAACCGGUUCUGGUAGAUGACAAUAGCACGAUCAGCACCUUAAAAUUUAUACCGAAAUUAGGAGACACGGGAAAAACGCUGGCUUGUCGAGCUGGAUCUUUGGAGCACUUGUGGACGUUGAACAUAUAUCAUGUGCCGGUAGUUUCCCUCGGAUUACACCGCAGCUUGAGUUCUGUCGACUUGCGAGAGGGGAUAGAUGUGUACUUGGAGUGCAACAUAACUGCAAAUCCAAAUGUUUACAGAGUUACCUGGAGACAUAACGACAAGCCGUUGUUUCACAAUGCAAGCGCUGGAGUGAUAAUCGGGAACCAGACUCUUGUCUUGCAAAACAUUACGCGGCAUCGAGCCGGCCUUUACACGUGCGUCGCCAGCAAUUCUGAAGGCGAUGGAGUUAGCAAUCCGCUCAAUCUUGACGUCAAAUUCGCGCCGGUGUGCAAAGCUGGGCAGCCGACGCAGUACGGAUCGGGGCGAAAGGAGGCGGCCAGAGUGAUAUGCGAGGUGGAGGCGAACCCGGCCGCUGUGACGUUCUCGUGGCGACUCAACAACUCGACCCCGUUGGCGCCGGCCCCGCUGACAGCCGCCGACAACCAGCUCCGCUCCGUCGUUGCCAUGGCCCACCAGUACGGCGUCCUCUUCUGCUCGGCAGAGAACGAGAUCGGGCCCCAGAGGCAGCCUUGUGUCUUCCACGUCAUACCCACAGACAAACCGGAGCCGCCAACGAACUGCACGGUGCAGAACCGGACGAACGACCUGUUGAACGUGGAGUGCAGCCCCGGCUGGGACGGCGGUCUGCCCCAGUUCUUCGUCAUGGAGGUCGUCACGCACGGGACCCCCGAGAGACAGCUCAUGGUCAACAUGACCUCCUCCUCGCCCGUCUUCUCCACCUCCAGCCUGCUCCCCUCCUUCUCCUACGACGUCGUCCUCUACGCCGCCAACAGCAAGGGACACAGCGAGCCCAGAGUCCUCAGGAUAGAAGCCAGCAAAGCUCAGAGCACCCAGAGGCGAACAGCGCUUUUAGCGGGUGAGCUGGAGUUAGGCCCCAUCAUAGGAAUUUUAGUAGGCAGUCUAGUAACUCUAAUAUUCUUAGUUUGCAUAACAACGGUAUUGGUGCGACGACGCCACAUGAAGAAACACUCAAAAAUGACAGAUUCGUCAACUAAAGAAGACCUGAACGACAGCGCAGAUAGUCUAGAUAAGAAUCCGGACAUCAUUCCUCACGAAGGUGAUUGUUUGGAUGAGGAUGAAAAAGCCUUUGAGAUGUACAGGAAAAGGAGGUCGUAUCCUUCUCAUAUAGGAUCAAAUAACUGUGAUACAAUAAGUAAAAAUGACAAGAUGCACGCGGAACUCUCGCUGACGAGUCCGUUGUACUCGACGCUACUGGCGCAGCAACACAUGUUGAGGCCACCGGUGGAACCGAACCCUCCUUGUCCGGCCGACACGACGGCCACCACUCCUCUCAUUGAGGCCCACCAAAGAGAGAGCAUGGUAUAAAUCACAAUCACCACCCUCUUUCUGCGUGUUCGUGUUCGUGUCCAUGUCCUUAGUAUAUUGUCAGGAAAGUGGAGUUCUGCGAUGAAGUUCACUGUCAAACUUUGAAACCUUACCCUAAACAAACCGUGACGGCCACGAGGUUUUGACAACCUGAGAACCCUGAAGGUUAUGUUGUUACGUUUUGUUAGUGCAUAGAAUACUUUCUAAGGUGUAAAAGUUUCAACUCGCUCAAUACAUUUUUAUUUUUGACUUAUAUUUUUUAUCGUUGUUCUCCAGGUUAAAUUCAGUAUUUCAUGUUGUACAAUUCAAAAGAUAAAAUGCGCAAUUAAGUAGCUUGUACAGUUUUUUUUUGUCUCUCAGAUGCUGUUUUAAAAUGUGAUAUACUCAGACUUUGUAUAAAAUUCAGGAUUUCUACCGAGUAACAAAACCGAUUAAACUCACGAUUGAUUUAUCAUAAAAUGUUACCCGUAGCCCUAAGUUUACAUGAUAAAUGUGAGCAAACUAUCUGAAUCAGACAUAAAAAGACGAAGUUCCAUUCCAAAUUUUCAAAGCCGUCGGCUCAAAGCUGAUUCAGUUUCGUCUUUGGUAAAGAUCAAGACUCUCCCUAAACUUUAGGCAAAUACUGCAUGAGCUGAAAAUGAUCUCAAUCGUAGUUUUUAUCACAUACUUAAUGUGAGCCUGUACUGUAAAACAUCUCUAAAAAUUUGAAACAAAAUUCAUAAAUGCGUAAAGACUCAACUUUUGGAUUUGGUAUCAGAGCUUUGAAGUAGACUUCGUGUGGGUGAAUUUGUGUACUACCUUGCAUUGAAACGCAGCUCCUAAAGCAGGUUUUUGUCAAAAAAUCUGCGGACAUUUUCAGAAUGAACCAUAGAUCUGAUAUUUUAACUUUAUUUCUGACGUCCUAAACUUUCCCUCAAAAUAUUCAAUUGUUUAUUCGUUCACCCAGCGUUCUAGGAUAAUUUUUACACACAUUGCCAUACUCUGCAAUCAGCUUGAGAUGUUUGAUUACUUUUUCUAAUCAACGGCUGAAAAGUUUGAGAGGAAUAUUACAACUUUAUUUCGGUUGACUAUGCUUUUUGCGUGACACAUAGGCGACCACAGUGAGAUUUUAAUUCAGUCUUGAAUCCGGUCUAUUCCGUGAGAUAUCGUUGAAACCUCGAAUCAGAAUUGUUAAGUUUCCCCAAUUAAUAUCGAUCAUAGAUAAACUAUAGUAUGAUGUUUAUGAUUCUUGUGAAUUUUUGUGGCGAAACGUUUCAGAAAUCUUUUCUUCUAUUUAUAUAAGUUGUAUGUUUACAUCGAGGUUUACUCUUUUCGAAAAGUUUGUUCAUUUUUCGUUCCAGGAAGUAAGAAAUCCAUUUAGAAAGGAAAUCAAAAGAGAAACGAAGUCGUGAAAGAGGAUUGAUGCCGCCAAGUGUCGGAUUUCGGGAGACUUUUGGAUGAAAGUAUUCUAAGUUUCGACAGCGUUGUAACAUUAAGAUAAAUAUUACGCAAGACUAUGGUACUAUGGUAUAUGCAACCAGGACUUGGAUUGCCUUUAUCCAAAAAGUCUAUGUGGGUCCGCUCACUAUAUUUUUUUUCUAUGAAUAAAGGAGAAACUAUACGAUUGGAUAUAAAUGAUGAUUUUUGCGGUUACAUGCGUUUUAACACUGGUGUUCUUUUAACAGGAAGUACCAACUUCUCAUGCUGAUUCGAUCAAAAUAGUAUCAAUUACGCAAACGGUAAGGAAGCUAGGUUCAGAGUAAGUCUGGGCUUACAGAUAUUUCUCGGUUCUCCAAGCCACAAAGAGUGUGAUUUUGUCCCCUUAUAUGUAGAGAUUGUAAAUAUUUGUACCUUUGCACUGUAAAAAUGUAAAAAAAUUAAUUUAUAAAAAAAGAAAAUAAAAUAAAUUUAUGUAAGUAAAACUUAA